rnacentral:rRNA from 1 species
AUUGAACGCUGGCGGCAUGCUUUACACAUGCAAGUCGAACGGCAGCGCGAGCUUCGUCCUGGCCGCACGUGGCCGACGGGUGAGUAAUUCAUCCGAACGUGCCCAGUCGUUGGGGAUAGGACAGCUAAAGCCGGCUUAAUACCGCAUACGACCUGAUGGUGAAAGGCGGGGACCGAAAGGCCUAGCGCUAUUGGAGCGGCCGAUGUCGGAUUAGCUAGUUGGUUGGGUAAAGGCUUACCAAGGCGACGAUCCGUAGCUGGUCUGAGAGGCCGACCAGCCACACUGGGACUGAGACACGGUCCAGACUCCUACGGGAGGCAGCAGUGGGGAAUUUUGGACAAUGGGCGCAAGCCUGAUCCAGCCAUGCCGCGUGAGUGAAGAAGGCCUUCGGGUUGUAAACCGCUUUUGUUCGGGAAGAAAACCUCUGGGCUAAUACACCGGGGGGAUGACGGUACCGGAAGAAUAAGCACCGGCUAACUACGUG